AUAAAACUCUAAUAAUAUUUUUAUGUUCAGAAUUAAAUCCUUAUUGAUUUUUCAUGAAGGUUAAAUCAGUAAGCAAAGUAAGUUGCAUAGUUUUUAAUAGGAACUUCGUUUUCUUGCUGUGGUUGUAGUCCAGGAACAUAAAGGCAUAAAAAAAUGCAAAAAGGCAAAAUCCAUGAGAGUGAGGCAAAGUGAAGGAAGAAAAUGAAACACAUAAGAAAGCUGCCUGGAAAUGUACAUAAAAGCCUAAAUUAUUAUUUGCUGGCACAAGCAAUUAGAAGCAAGAAUAAGAGAAGACAUUGCUUUCUUAUUUUGUUUUUAAUAUGUUAGAAUACGCUUAUAUGUAAUAACAUAAAUAAGCGAAUAAACCAAAAAGGAUCUUGCUGACAAAUUAAUCAAAGUGUCUUAUAAUUCUGGGGGAUGAUGCCAGAGUGUGCUUUUAGGAUCCCAGAGAGGCUGUGGAUGCCCCGUCCAUCCCUGGAGGUGUUCAAGGCCAGGUUGGAUGGGGCCCUGGGCAGCCUGGGCUGGUAUUACAUGUGGAGGUUGGUGGCCCUGCCUGUGGUGGGGGGUUGGAGCUUCGUGAUCCUUGAGGUCCCUUCCAGCCUGGGUCAUUCUGUGAUUCUGUGAUUCAAUCUGGAUGGCAAUAGAAGUGGAAGGAAAGAAAGACACGAAAGAACACAAGCUGCAAAUGAAAGCCCAGAAAAGAAUUUUUGCUUUGUUUUGUCCACUUCAACCAAAGUUUUUUUUUCUCACAAUAAUCAUAGGGAGAACAACAAAACUUCACCAGUGUCAUCUUACAGAGGAAACACACAAGUCACCAUUGUGUCACUGGCAUCUCUUCUCAUCUGAUGAAGCCAUCACUGCCUCGUCUGCCAUUCACACUCUUUUAAUCUUCCCACCUUGCCUUUUCCUUUGGUGAAGCCACUGUUUGAUCUGCUCAGACUCCCCAAGUGAACAGAAUCCAGACAGAAAGAAAGAAAAAGGACAACACAUCCCAAUUUCUAUCACUUUGUGCUUCACCACAGUGAAAGAAUUAAAGCUCAGGGUCAAUCUUAGAAAUAGCUGAAGGAAAUAAAGUCAAGGAAUCAAGGAAGAGGAAGUCACUGAUGAAAGAGAAGAGGCCACUGCCCCUGAUUUAAAUACAGGCUGAUCUGAGGCACAGGCAGGCUGCAGCAGACACACAGAUUGCAGUGUUUGAGUUCAGAAAAUAGCACUGCAUCGCUCGUGUGGCUGUGCCAUGUAACAGAAACAAUCGAAUUUCACUUUGUUUUAACCCUCACAAUCCCUGCUUAGGUCAAGUGUAACAUCAGGACAUCCAGCCCCAGAGGAACCUUGAGGCAAUGCGAGGUGGGAUGCUGCCAGCACAGUGAGACAUCCCUUAAUCUCACUUUGCCUUUCACAUCACAGCAGUAACAUCACAGUGGAGUGACAGCGGAGAAGCCCAUGCAUCUUCCUUAGAUUGAAGGUGCCAAGAGUGGCAGGACAGCACCAUAAUACAGCACACAGCAAUCAGGAAGAUGACGAGCCUUAACACACUGCAGCCUCCUGUCUCCUCCAUUAGUCAACAAUGGGAAUCAAGUUGCAUAGAAAGGUUUGUAAAAAUUCAC
ensembl:lncRNA